rnacentral:rRNA from 1 species
UACGCGGGGUGCGAGCGUUGCUCGGAAUUAUUGGGCGUAAAGGGUAGGUAGGUGGUUUCGUUUGUCUGGGGUGAAAGCCUUGAGCUUAACUCAAGAAGUGCCUCGGAAACGGCGAAACUCGAGUACUGGAGAGGGUCGUGGAAUUCCCGGUGUAGCGGUGAAAUGCGUAGAGAUCGGGAGGAACACCAGAGGCGAAGGCGGCGACCUGGACAGUUACUGACACUCAACUACGAAAGCGUGGGGAGCAAACAGG